rnacentral:misc_RNA from 1 species
AGCAUGCAGCACGUUCAUGGGAAUUAAUUAGAAGUGAGCUGUACAUUCUUAAUUCCGUCCUAAGCAAAAAGGAAAAAAGCUUAACCCACGCUGAGGAGGAACCAUUGCAUGUGACGAUCUCACAUGCGUGUCUGAACGCUAACCGCCAAAUCAGCACCUUACACGUGGCAAUUGCAGGAGAGGUUUCUCUAUAUAUAUCAAGUAUAGGGAGGAUGAGUUUCUCUCACAGAAGCAGAAGCAGAAUUGUCUGAGAGAGUUGUUGAAGUUUCUGAUAAUUGUUCCCAUUAGGCUAAUUGAAAGGGUUUAUCUGAAGAAAAAACAAGUGAAAAUGGCUGAUGAGAGUACUGCAACUUGCAUAGAUAUCCUCUUGGCCAUCCUCUUGCCUCCUCUUGGUGUCUUCCUUAAGUAUGGCUGCAAGGUUGAGUUUUGGAUCUGUUUGGUCCUUACCCUUUUCGGGUACCUUCCCGGGAUUAUAUAUGCAGUCUAUGCCAUCACCAAGUGAUGAUCUUCAUCUUCAGUGGAAAGCUCUAAUCAUGUUUUUUGUUGAAGACGUCUGUUUUGAUGUAGUCAGAUGGAUCAUUCUUGUGUUUGUGUCCUCUUUUUUUCAAGAAUUUUCUUUUUAUUUGAUCUAUUAAUUUGCUGUAAGAAGGUUAUUGCAAUUGGAUUUGAGUCGUUUCUUGGGUAGGACAAUGGCUUGUCAACUAUCAGUUGCUGUUAGUGUCUCUUCAAAUUUGUUUUAAAUGUGAUUGUAUUAUUAUUAUUAUUGUCAUCUUGGUGGUAUUUCUUUAUUACAGUAAUGUCAUAUAUAUAUAUAUAUAUAUU